rnacentral:tRNA from 1 species
GCGGCCAUAGUUUAACGGUUAGAAUGGGGGACUGUGGAUCCCCAAAUCGGGGUUCGAUUCCCCGUGGCCGCCCCA